rnacentral:tRNA from 3 species
GCCUCGGUGGUGAAAUGGAUAUCACGCGACGCUUCGGACGUCGAAUUCUGGGUUCGAGUCCUGGCCGAGGCGCAA